UUAUUGGGCGUAAGCGAGCGCAGGCGGUUUUUUAAGUCUGAUGUGAAAGCCUUCGGCUCAACCGAAGAAGUGCAUCGGAAACUGGGAAACUUGAGUGCAGAAGAGGACAGUGGAACUCCAUGUGUAGCGGUGAAAUGCGUAGAUAUAUGGAAGAACACCAGUGGCGAAGGCGGCUGUCUGGUCUGUAACUGACGCUGAGGCUCGAAAGUAUGGGUAGCAAACAGGAUUAGAUACCCUGGUAGUCCAUACCGUAAACGAUGAAUGCUAAGUGUUGGAGGGUUUCCGCCCUUCAGUGCUGCAGCUAACGCAUUAAGCAUUCCGCCUGGGGAGUACGGCCGCAAGGCUGAAACUCAAAGGAAUUGACGGGGGCCCGCACAAGCGGUGGAGCAUGUGGUUUAAUUCGAAGCUACGCGAAGAACCUUACCAGGUCUUGACAUACUAUGCAAAUCUAAGAGAUUAGACGUUCCCUUCGGGGACAUGGAUACAGGUGGUGCAUGGUUGUCGUCAGCUCGUGUCGUGAGAUGUUGGGUUAAGUCCCGCAACGAGCGCAACCCUUAUUAUCAGUUGCCAGCAUUAAGUUGGGCACUCUGGUGAGACUGCCGGUGACAAACCGGAGGAAGGUGGGGAUGACGUCAAAUCAUCAUGCCCCUUAUGACCUGGGCUACACACGUGCUACAAUGGAUGGUACAACGAGUUGCGAACUCGCGAGAGUAAGCUAAUCUCUUAAAGCCAUUCUCAGUUCGGAUUGUAGGCUGCAACUCGCCUACAUGAAGUCGGAAUCGCUAGUAAUCGCGGAUCAGCAUGCCGCGGUG
rnacentral:rRNA from 1 species